CGACGAGAGGUGAAGAUGGACGCCGAUCGCGCUAUGAUUUCUUCAAUUCUUGACGAGUACAGGAUUGGAGCAGGCCGCACUUCUCUGGAGGACAUCUACUGCCUCCAGCAUUGCAUCUAUGGCCUGACACCCUUCUUAAGUGAGUAUUUUUGGUAAUAAGACUCGACUAUGAAAAC